AUUGAACGCUGGCGGCAGGCCUAACACAUGCAAGUCGAGCGGAUGAAGGGAGCUUGCUCCUGGAUUCAGCGGCGGACGGGUGAGUAAUGCCUAGGAAUCUGCCUGGUAGUGGGGGAUAACGUCCGGAAACGGGCGCUAAUACCGCAUACGUCCUGAGGGAGAGAGUGGGGGAUCUUCGGACCUCACGCUAUCAGAUGAGCCUAGGUCGGAUUAGCUAGUUGGUGGGGUAAAGGCCUACCAAGGCGACGAUCCGCAACUGGUCUGAGAGGAUGAUCAGUCACACUGGAACUGAGACACGGUCCAGACUCCUACGGGAGGCAGCAGUGGGGAAUAUUGGACAAUGGGCGAAAGCCUGAUCCAGCCAUGCCGCGUGUGUGAAGAAGGUCUUCGGAUUGUAAAGCACUUUAAGUUGGGAGGAAGGGCAGUAAGUUAAUACCUUGCUGUUUUGACGUUACCAACAGAAUAAGCACCGGCUAACUUCGCG
rnacentral:rRNA from 1 species